rnacentral:sRNA from 2 species
CAGAACACUAAGCCGAAUUCCAUUUCGCCCCAUGGCGGGAAUGGAAGCCGGGGAACCGAGAACGUUUCCUGGGGUGAAAGGGAAGCAAGGAGCGCGCGUAGAGCGUGCCGGAGCAACCCGAGGUGAAUUCCUGCACCGAACCCGACAGCUAACCCGGUAGGCGUCACUGGAAGAUAUU